AAGUCGUAACAAGGUUUCCGUAGGUGAACCUGCGGAAGGAUCAUUAAUGAAUAUCUAUGGCGGUGGUUGUAGCUGGCUUCUAGGAGCAUAUGUGCACACCCGUCAUUCAUAUCUUUCCACCUGUGAACCUAAUGUAGAUCUGGAUAACUCUCGCUUUCUGAGCGGAAACAGGGAUUGCUGUGUCGCAAGGCCAGCUCUCUUUGAAUUUCCAGGUCUAUGUCCUUUACACACCCCAAUUGAAUGAUGAAGAAUGUAGUCAAUGGGCUCUAAGCCCAUAAAACACAAUACAACUUUCAGCAACGGAUCUCUUGGCUCUC
rnacentral:misc_RNA from 1 species